UGGGUAGUCCGCACGAGCGCACCUUAAGCUUAGUUGCCAUCAUUAAGUUGGGCACUCUAAGUUGACUGCCGGUGACAAACCGGAGGAAGGUGGGGAUGACGUCAAAUCAUCAUGCCCCUUAUGAUUUGGCCUACACACGUGCUACAAUGGACAAUACAAAGGGCAGCGAAACCGCGAGGUCAAGCAAAUCCCAUAAAGUUGUUCUCAGUUCGGAUUGUAGUUUGCAACUCGACUAUAUGAAGCUGGAAUCGCUAGUAAUCGUAGAUCAGCAUGCUACGGUGAAUACGUUCCCGGGUCUUGUACACACCGCCCGUCACACCACGAGAGUUUGUAACACCCGAAGCCGGUGGAGUAACCAUUUGGAGCUAGCCGUCGAAGGUGGGACAAAUGAUUGGGGUGAAGUCGUAACAAGGUAGCCGUAUCGGAAGGUGCGGCUGGAUCACCUCCUUUCU
rnacentral:rRNA from 1 species